rfam:Allomyces macrogynus ATCC 38327 genomic scaffold supercont3.18, whole genome shotgun sequence.
GCUCCAGUAGCUCAAUCGGUUAGAGCGCCGUGCUUAUAUGGGCGUUCCCCGUAUACUUACACGCACGAAGCAACGCGGAGGUUGCGGGUUCGAGCCCCGCCUGGAGCA